rnacentral:rRNA from 1 species
GUCUAUGGCCAUGCCACCCUGAACAAGCCCAAAUCCUGUCUGAUCUUGGAAGCUAAGCGGGGUCGGGCCUGGUUAGUAGUACUUGAAUGGGAGACCACCUAGGAAGACCGGGUGCUGAAGGCG